rnacentral:lncRNA from 1 species
UUAGCCUUGAGCUCGAGUUCGUGAAGAUAUUUAGCGAUUCACAACUGGUGGUCGGACAGAUUGAAGGAUCAUUUGAAAGGAAAUACGAGAAAAUGAGUUUGUACUGUAUGAAGGUUCAGGAUCUUCAACGAAAAUUCAAGAGUUGUGAAAUUGCAAAAAUUGCUCGAAAGGACAACGAAAAAGCCAACGCAUUAUCCAGACUUGUGUUCAUGGGGGUAGA